GGUCAUGAGUGCCAGCGACAAGCCCCGGCUCGCUGGUCGGCAACCCUCCUCCGCGGUGGGGUGCUCCGGGUGACGACCUGGCCGUGUACCGACCGGGCACGGCAAGCGUGGAUC
rfam:Gordonia sp. NB4-1Y contig_14, whole genome shotgun sequence.